rnacentral:lncRNA from 1 species
UUAUAUGGAUACUAAACCCAAAAGGCCGAUUCAUUACGAGAAGAUUGAAUACAUCAUCGCCAUGUCAGUUGACCUGGUCUAUCCUCUGUUUUACAUAUUAGUAUGGAUAUGGACCUGUGUUAGUUUAUAGGCAAAUGUCUCGUGGAGGAUAUGGGCAUGUGUAUAUUAUAAAUUUUGUUUUAAAACUUAAAUGUAUAAUAUAAUUCUUGUAUAUUGAUAGUAUC